rnacentral:rRNA from 1 species
GACGAACGCUGGCGGCGUGCCUAACACAUGCAAGUCAAAGGAAAGCAACUUCGGUUGUAAGUACUUGGCGCAAGGGUGAGUAAUGUAUAGGUAAUCUGCCCUUAGGACUGGCAUAACCUCGAGAAAUCGAGGACAAUACCAGAUGAUGCAGCGGGACCGCAUGGUCAUGUUGUUAAAGAUUUAUCGCCUAAGGAUGAACCUAUAUCCCAUCAGGUAGUUGGCAGGAUAAUAGCCUACCAAGCCUACGACGGGUAGCUGGUCUGAGAGGAUGAUCAGCCACAUUGGAACUGAGACACGGUCCAGACUCCUACGGGAGGCAGCAGUGAGGAAUAUUGCGCAAUGGGCGAAAGCCUGACGCAGCAACGGCGCGUGGAUGAUGAAGUUCUUCGGAAUGUAAAGUCCUUUUGUAGAGGAAGAACAUGUCGGUUUACCGGCACUGACGGUACUCUGCGAAUAAGCCACGGCUAACUCUGU